rnacentral:tRNA from 1 species
UAAAAAUUAGUUAAAUAUUAUAACAUUAAAUUGUCAAAUUAAAAUUAUUAAAAUAUAAUAUUUUUAU